CGGGAGGAGGACAACCGGGAUUGCCCCAGUAACGGCGAGUGAAGCGGCAAGAGCUCAAAUUUGAAAUCUGGCCCCUCCGGGGUCCGAGUUGUAAUUUGCAGAGGAUGCUUCGGGUGCGGCCCCUGUCUAAGUGCCCUGGAACGGGCCGUCAGAGAGGGUGAGAAUCCCGUCUUGGGCAGGGUGCCCGUGCCCGUGUGAAGCUCCUUCGACGAGUCGAGUUGUUUGGGAAUGCAGCUCUAAAUGGGUGGUAAAUUUCAUCUAAAGCUAAAUACCGGCCGGAGACCGAUAGCGCACAAGUAGAGUGAUCGAAAGAUGAAAAGCACUUUGAAAAGAGAGUUAAACAGCACGUGAAAUUGUUGAAAGGGAAGCGCUUGCGACCAGACUCGGCCUCGGGGUUCAGCCAGCAUUCGUGCUGGUGUACUUCCCCGGGGCCGGGCCAGCGUCGGUUCGGGCGGCCGGUCAAAGGCCCCAGGAAUGUAUCGUCCUCCGGGACGUCUUAUAGCCUGGGGUGCAAUGCGGCCAGCCUGGACCGAGGAACGCGCUUCGGCACGGACGCUGGCGUAAUGGUCACAAACGACCCGUCUUGAAACACGGACCAAGGAGUCUAACAUCUACGCGAGUGUUCGGGUGUCAAACCCGUACGCGCAGUGAAAGCGAACGGAGGUGGGAGCCCCUUUGGGGCGCACCAUCGACCGAUCCUGAAGUCUUCGGAUGGAUUUGAGUACGAGCGUAGCUGUGGGGACCCGAAAGAUGGUGAACUAUGCCUGAAUAGGGUGAAGCCAGAGGAAACUCUGGUGGAGGCUCGCAGCGGUUCUGACGUGCAAAUCGAUCGUCAAAUUUGGGUAUAGGGGCGAAAGA
rnacentral:rRNA from 1 species